AGCUGCUUGGCGCAGCGGAAGCGCGCCGGGCUCAUAACCCGGAGGACCUCGGAUCGAAACCGAGAGCAGCUAA
rnacentral:tRNA from 1 species